CAGAGGGGGCAAGCGUUGUUCGGAAUUACUGGGCGUAAAGGGCGCGUAGGCGGCCUGCUAAGUCGAACGUGAAAUCCCUGGGCUCAACCCAGGAACUGCGUCCGAUACUGGCAGGCUUGAAUUCGGGAGAGGGAUGCGGAAUUCCAGGUGUAGCGGUGAAAUGCGUAGAUAUCUGGAGGAACACCGGUGGCGAAGGCGGCAUCCUGGACCGAAAUUGACGCUGAGGCGCGAAAGCCAGGGGAGCAAACGGGAUUAGAUACCCCGGUAGUCCUGGCCCUAAACGAUGAAUGCUUGGUGUGGCGGGUAUCGAUCCCUGCCGUGCCGAAGCUAACGCAUUAAGCAUUCCGCCUGGGGAGUACGGUCGCAAGGCUG
rnacentral:rRNA from 1 species